UAAUAAAGGGGUGGCCUUAGUGCGUGGGUGUUGUUUGAUUUUAGUUGUAGUUAUCCUCUAUGAGAAUAAUGGGUAAAGGUAACAUGAGAAGGUGAGGAAGAUACCACCCAGAAUGGGACGGUGGACUCGGAGGCGGAGUAGCCGAGGAGGUGAGGUCGGAUGCAUCACACUGUCUAGGGGCUCUAGGUGUCAGUUAUUAGUCAUUUCCUAUGAUUGUUAUGGUAGUAUGGGAUGAAGACUACUUGUUAGCUUGCUUCGGUAGGAGGUCACAAAUGUUUCUUUAAAGAUGUGCGUUUUUUUUCCUUUGACGUUUUAUAUGAUUGCAGAAAAAAAAAUAAUCUGGACAAAUGUGUGAUGCAAUGAUGUUUCCUUUAAAUGUGAAGUUUAUGUUUUAGUUCUUAGCAAA